rnacentral:rRNA from 1 species
AAUGCCAARGUCGAGGCGGYAAGGCUCCUGCAGCAUUUAGCAGACAGUACAGGCAUUAUACAUAGUUAGGAAUGUUAGAAAGUAGACACACGGACUUUUGUUCUGAAGGUUUAACCUCUAAUAAUUUUUACUAAAUAUAAUUUGUACACUAAAUCUGAUAGAUGAUGCUGGAGUACACGAGCGGCGGACGGCUGAGUAACGCGUAGGAAUGUACUCCAAAGUGAGGGAUAACUGCCUGAAAAGGUAGCUAAUACCGCAUGUGGUCUAAGGAUUAAAGCUUCGGCGCUUUGGGAGCAGCCUGCGUAAGAUUAGUUUGUUGGUGAGGUAAUGGCUCACCAAGGCGAUGAUCUUUAGCUGGUCUGAGAGGAUGAUCAGCCAGACUGGAACUGAGAACGGUCCAGACUCCUACGGGAGGCAGCAGUAGGGAAUUUUCCACASUGGACGAAAGUCUGAUGGAGCAACGCCGCGUGCAGGAUGAAGGGCUUCGGUUCGUAAACUGCUUUUAUAUGUGACGAUUAUGACGGUAGCAUAUGAAUAAGGAUCGGCUAAUUCCGUGCCAGCAGCCGCGGUCAUACGGAAGAUCCAAGCGUUAUCCGGAAUUACUGGGCGUAAAGAGUUGCGUAGGUGGCAUAGUAAGUUGGUAGUGAAAUGAUGUGGCUCAACCACAUGUCCAUUACCAAAACUGCUAAYCUAGAGGGCGAGAGAGGUUACUASAAUUUCCUUGUGUAGGAGUGAAAUCCGUAGAUAUAAGAAGGAAUACCGAUGGCGUAGGYAGGUAAACUUGGCUCGUCCCUGACACUUAAGGCACSAAAAGCGUGGGGGAGCGACCGGGAAUUAGAAUACCUCCGUUUAG